GAUGAACGCUGGCGGCGUGCCUAAUACAUGCAAGUCGAGCGAACAGACGAGGAACUUGCUCCUCUGACGUUAGCGGCGGACGGGUGAGUAACACGUGGAUAACCUACCUAUAAGACUGGGAUAACUUCGGGAAACCGGAGCUAAUACCGGAUAAUAUAUUGAACCGCAUGGUUCAAUAGUGAAAGACGGUUUUGCUGUCACUUAUAGAUGGAUCCGCGCCGCAUUAGCUAGUUGGUAAGGUAACGGCUUACCAAGGCAACGAUGCGUAGCCGACCUGAGAGGGUGAUCGGCCACACUGGAACUGAGACACGGUCCAGACUCCUACGGGAGGCAGCAGCAGGGAAUCUUCCGCAAUGGGCGAAAGCCUGACGGAGCACCGCCGCGUGAGUGAUGAAGGUCUUCGGAUCGUAAAACUCUGUUAUUAGGGAAGAACAAAUGUGUAAGUAACUAUGCACGUCUUGGCGGUACCUAAUCAGAAAGCCACUGCUAACUAC
rnacentral:rRNA from 1 species